rnacentral:rRNA from 1 species
UGAGUAACCUGCCCUGGACUUUGGGAUAACCCUCGGAAACGGGGGCUAAUACCGGAUAUGACCUGCUUCCGCAUGGUGGUGGGUGGAAAGUUUUUCGGUCUGGGAUGGGCUCGCGGCCUAUCAGCUUGUUGGUGGGGUGAUGGCCUACCAAGGCGACGACGGGUAGCCGGCCUGAGAGGGCGACCGGCCACACUGGGACUGAGACACGGCCCAGACUCCUACGGGAG